UCUCUAAAUUCCACCUGAUAAGCCACUUCAUUCAGCGAUCACUUGUGGUCAGAUCGCUUCUGAAAAAGAGCUCUAUAGCUCAGUGGGCCUUACCUGGAAAAUUUUAAAAUAAUUGUAUUUUUAGUUCAACAGAGGAGGAAUUUUUAAAAUACACAAACACUCUCCUGAAGUCCUCUCUUUGUGGUUAGCAGACCUCAACAUUCGUAUUUAGCUCCCGAAUCAUAUUGCCAUGAGGUGCAAUAAUAUAAUUCAUUAAAAUGCAAGUUGCAUUUUUAAACAUAUCAGAUACCUGGUAAAAAACAAUUAAAGCUAGGAGUAGAGCGGAAUGGAGCGUUAUAAACGUUGGCUAAUGAACAGUUGCUAAUUUUAAGAUGGCAAUUAUACGAUUGCUGCACCAUUAUUUCUUUUUUUCCCCGUCAUUUUCCUCCAAUCUGAUCCCAACUGGGCUAUUGGCAUCACGAGAGACGAAAAAUCCAUUCCGACUUCUCGCGUGGCAUUUCAGCCCUUCGUGGGGUGGAAUGGCCCCACAAAAGAGGACAUUGUGGACAACCUUAGAGGUCCCCAUCAAGUGACUACUGAACGCACAACUAGAGGGGGGGGGGAGGGGGAAGCAUUGUCCCACUCGCUUUGCAUACGAGAGUGAGGAUCGUUGAAUAACAGUUAAACCGAUGUUGUAAAUUGAGCUCGGAGCUAGGAUUUAGUGAAAUUGCUUCACCGUUAUUAAUGUGUCACAGUAAAUGCAGUUGCAUCAAAUUGCUUUAUUUACUCAGUUUGUAGUUAUGAUUUUAACUACUGUAACCCUACGUCUUUUUUUUACUCGAGGAGGACCAAAGUAGGUGAGUUUUAAGAGAGCAAUAGAGUAAGUAUGUUGUUGACAUCUGCAUUUUUGGAGUGUUGGGAUUUUUUCCGGGUACUUCAGUCUCUUCCGACGCACAAAACAACUGACUAGCCAAUCAAAGGCGGGCCCUCUCGGAAGAGUCCUGACACUCGUUGAGGCUUUGCUUAGAAAAUAAUGUUUUUUUUUAUUAACCCCACGUAAAAAAAAGCACAUUGAAGAGUCACUUGUCUUCGAGAGUUCGCGGUGUCACGAUUCGCACACUUGACUCGCAAUCCGGAGGUCACCGGCUUACUUUGAACUCCCGGCGCAAGUCAAAACAAUGGGGCAGGUAUCUCAAUUCCUCCCUCCUGUCCCAACGUCCCCCCACCAUCACCUCUAUCCAUCCUACACUAUAAAUGGUAGCACCACAGUUGGUCGAUGGGCAGAUCGCGAGUGGUGGGUAUAAAUUGUGGGGCUUUUCCCACCUCCGUGAAGGUGGAAGAGUGGACGAAAAUAUCCUACACAGAGGGCCUCUCGAGCAGAGACCCAUCCACCAGCAGUGACGUGAGCCAGCAAUUGCAGGGCUACACUUUUACCUUGUAGACCAGGAGUCCGCUCCAGAGCGCUGGCACUGUUUUCAGCAUCAGCGGCUUUUUCCGCGGGGCUAACAGUGGGUGGCAUUGUUUACUCUCGUAUCAAUUCACUGCUUAGUUUAUAGUCGAGUCAAAGCUGCGUGUGAUAGAUUCAAAUCUUGGGGAGAAUGCUUAAUGAGGCCACGAAGAAGAGCUUUUGGCUCUCACCCUUCGUCUUUGAGAUGUAAGGGGGGGGGGGGGGGGAGACAUCCCUCCCCCGCUUCUGUGAGCACUUUGCGUGCAUUGAGCUUUGUGCAGAUUGCUUUACCCGUCGCUGAGACGUGUGCGUUGUGCGAGUUCGCGCUGAGCGUAAUUGAGCCGUCUCGUCCGUGUUGAUGUAUUAGGCCCUCCCUGUUCAGAUUUUUUUUCCCGGCUGGUUGCAAACGUUAAACGCUUUUGGUGAUUUAUUACCCUUUCGCGUCCUCGUCGUCAUGUAUAUAUGCAUGCACGUUGAACUUCUUUCGCACCGUACGUCGCCAACCGUGCUAAUCGGAGGUGCGGGGGAAUGACAACAAACUAAACACAAAAAAAGCAAUUCUAAAGAUACGUGGUUUCAAUAUAGAUUUUAAAGUGCAUACAUAGUUCCAGUAGUUUCUUAAUGUCUGAAGGAAGAGCGUUCCAGACGGUCGCAGCAGCAUAUAUGAAAGCGGACGAUGCAGUGACCGUCUUUGUUCGAUGGCUUGCCAAAAGCCGCUGUGAGGAUGACCGGAGUUCGUGUCAUGGUCUAUGCAUGUCCAGCCCUGGUCAAUGCACUGCUGGAUGAAGGCCUGCCCCCACAAGCCCGCUGCCAUCUCUCACGAUCGUGCAGUGUGAACAAUCCACCCAGCGCCUGCGCACGAGCGCAUCUCGUCGUUUAGUCUCCACGGUGGACGUCCCCUGGGACACGUUCCAUUUUCUUGGCCGCCACCCUGUCGUGAUUCUCGACCGUGUUGGCCCGCCAUCCCUUCUGCCAAAAUGUCUUGCCCAAAGCCCACUCAUUCUUAACGUUUUGCGGGUGUAAAUGGAUAACCCGUUCCAAAUGGAUAACCCGUUCCAAAUUGGAUAACCGACGAUAACCAUGUGUCAACUUCGGCGGUGGAUGCAUUUGCCCACCAGUGCGGUGAUGGCAUUAUUGGCGGGUUACCAAAUAAUAAUACAGUAAUAAUAAUGUCAACUUGUGAUGUGCCGCACAACGUUCACUAAGUCUCAUAGAAUGAGAGGACGACUGGGGAAGCGCAUGGAAACCACAGACACUCGGGAAGGUGGCCACGCGAUGAGCCGGCACAAACGAUUGCCCAAGCUCUGCGGUUCUCGAUAUUUUAAGGUGUUAACGGCUAAUUCAUGAGAGUUUACAUGAUGGAGGAAGUCGGAGAGUCCCUGGAGAAAAGCCACGCGUGCAAGGGGGAAACGCUCUAUCCCAUACAGACGGAAAAAGUGGAGUCCACUUUUUUUUUCUGUGCCGCGUUCUCCUCGACACCCAGGGGAAGGGAGUUUGACAACAUUUGCGUGAUCCACCAACCCUCGCCUCCUCAGGCAUGCACAGCCACCACCGACCGGAUAAUAUUUGUAUUUAAAUUAUUAUAUAUCAACUUGCUUCACCAGUUAUUGCGGAGUUGAUAAUUUGUGAUUGUACCCCCCGAACUCGAGAAGUCAGUUUCCACCCAACCUGACCCCCAAACUCCUUCACGCUUCCUCUUUAAUCGCCAUUCCAGGUCUAUCAAUCUUGCCUGUCCGCGUGCCAAUUAUUACAAAAAGUGUGUCGGUUUGCGUGUGCCUGCCAAUGUAAUGGAUAAGAAAAAAAAUUAUAAUCAGUAUCUGAAAAAAAUCCAUCCCUGGUAUGGAAUUUUAACUCCAGCAGAGAGGGUUGGAUCUGCCCAAUCCGAGCCGUGUCCACACGCACCUGUAGAGGCAGACUGCAUUAGGUUUGAGGCGUGUUGCCGAUGUGCGUUCUCGAGUGGCUAAUUUAACUCUCAUCAAUUUUGUACACGGUUUUUUUUGUACUUUAGAUUUGUUUUUUCUACAUUUGUUGCGCGUCUACAAUUGCUGUUUAUUUUAGGAUGCUAUUACGGUAUUUUAUUACGCCCGGGUGAAUUUUCAAUUAACAUUCACAUGCUGGUGUUCGUCGUUGUAUGCGUUUGCUGUGUGGUACCACAACGCGUGCUGCAGCUAUAAAGUCGCAGGUAUGGUCCCGAGUAACGCAUUGCACACUGAUUAUUUGGUGAUGCCGCCGCUGCUUGCGUUGACGAUUAAAAACCAAACUCAAUACAUUCAUCAAUAACACCGUGGCCGUAAAA